rnacentral:rRNA from 1 species
GCGCACCAGUCGCGAAAACUCCGCAAUACGCGAAAGCGUGACGGGGCUACCCCGAGUGUCGUCCGCUGAGGACGACUUUUCCACGCUGUAAGGAGGCGUGGGAAUAAGGAGAGGGCAAGUCUGGUGUCAGCCGCCGCGGUAAUACCAGCUCUCCGAGUGGUAGGGACGAUUAUUGGGCUUAAAGCGUCCGUAGCCGGCUACGCAAGUCUCCCGUUAAAUCCAACGAUUCAAUCGUUGGACUGCGGGAGAUACUGUUGAGCUAGGAGGCGGGAGAGGCCGACGGUAUUCCCGGAGUAGGGGUGAAAUCCUAUAAUCCCGGGAAGACCACCAGUGGCGAAAGCGUCUAACUAGAACG